GGGUGACACUCUGAUCUUUUGAGUAUAAUCUUUUCCUGGAUCUUUUCGAAUCAUUCGGAAUCUUCUGAAUCUCGGCAAAUCAUGCACAUAACAAGUGAAGGAGCUUUUGCUUCAGUGUAUCGGCAACUCCUGUCAAAUCGCGAUAAAACAAAAAUAAAAAUUCGCUGCUGGACCUGGAACUAAACCAAAGAAAUUUUCUUUCAAACUGCGGAAAUUGCACAAACGGCCUCGGUGCUGAAUCUUUCUGGAAAAUCACCCUCAUUCUUUUAUGUGCGAACAAGAAGGUUCUGUUCCUUGCUGACUUGGAAUACAGCCUAAACCGGAAAAAAUCUCAGGAAGCCUCAGUUGGAAGCACUAUCCUGGCAACGGAUUACGUUUACUUUUCCGAACGAAUGGAAGCGGAAAGCGAAUUCCUGCUGCGAAAUGGUUUCAUCGGACGGUAGUGAACCGCGCGGACGGAAAAGAUAUCAACAUGGAUCUGGAUGAGCGGAACAACUAAUGUUCCUUCCGACCCUGGUUGAGAUAUCACGAACAGUAGUGACCAAUGUCAAGCCGGAGAGUUCAUGGACGGAGUCAUCCUCAACAACUCCAUGACGACAUAUCUGGAAUGUUUAGGCAUCGCCGGACGGCUAUGGAAGCUCCGUGAGUGCACGGAGAGGCUGAACCCUUUUGACUCCACUGUAACAGACAGGUAGAAACCGAGGACGACCAGUUGACGGCGGUGGUGAACCGGAGUAUCCAGGUCUGAUAGAUAUCGUGCGCAGAAUUCCGAGAGAAGAGGCGAUCAUCAACGUGAAUUGCAAUUAUGUAGUUUUUGCGAUGAUGAGGAGAAAAAGAAGCAAGGAUGAAGAUCCUGAAAUGAUUUAUCAAUAAACGUAAACUAUUCAACAAUUUGUGAA